rnacentral:tRNA from 1 species
GCGCUCUUAGUUCAAUCCGGUAGAACGUGGGUCUCCAAAACCCGAUGUCGUAGGUUCAAAUCCUACAGAGCG